rnacentral:rRNA from 1 species
CCUACGGGAGGCAGCAGUGAGGAAUAUUGGUCAAUGGACGAGAGUCUGAACCAGCCAAGUAGCGUGAAGGAUGACUGCCCUAUGGGUUGUAAACUUCUUUUAUAUGGGAAUAAAACGUUCCACGUGUGGGAUUUUGUAUGUACCAUAUGAAUAAGGAUCGGCUAACUCCGUGCCAGCAGCCGCGGUAAUACGGAGGAUCCGAGCGUUAUCCGGAUUUAUUGGGUGUAAAGGGAGCGUAGGUGGAUUGUUAAGUCAGUUGUGAAAGUUUGCGGCUCAACCGUAAAAUUGCAGUUGAAACUGGCAGUCUUGAGUACAGUAGAGGUGGGCGGAAUUCGUAGUGUAGCGGUGAAAUGCUUAGAUAUCACGAAGAACUCCGAUUGCGAAGGCAGUUCACUGGACUGCAACUGACACUGAGGCUCGAAAGUGUGGGUAUCAAACAGGAUUAGAUACCCCAGUAGUC